AACGCACGAGACCUGCGGACCUGCGGAGGGAUCAUUAGUGAACGCCCUCACGGGCUUAUAACUAUUCCAAACCUCUGUGAACCGUGCCCUUCGGGGCUAUUUUACAAACAUGGUGUAAUGAACGUCAUAUAUCAUAACAAAACGAAACUUUCAGCAAUGGAUCUCU
rnacentral:misc_RNA from 1 species